AUUUCGUGAUAAGGGCACUUCCAUAAUAAUUCUUUAUACCUUUCCCAUGCUUUGUACAAGGACUCAUCAGCCAUUUUUUGGAAAGUGGUGAUCUCGUUUCUCAACUU
rfam:Gossypium raimondii chromosome 1, whole genome shotgun sequence.